CAAUAGCGUAUAUUAAAGUUGUUGCGGUUAAAAAGCUCGUAGUUGGAUUUCUGCCGAGGACGACCGGUCCGCCCUCUGGGUGUGUAUCUGGUUUGGCCUGGGCAUCUUCUUGGAGAACGUAGCUGCACUUGACCGUGUGGUGCGGUGUCCAGGACUUUUACUUUGAGGAAAUUAGAGUGUUUCAAGCAGGCACACGCCUUGAAUACAUUAGCAUGGAAUAAUAAGAUAGGACCUCGGUUCUAUUUUGUUGGUUUCUAGAGCUGAGGUAAUGAUUAAUAGGGAUAGUUGGGGGCAUUCGUAUUUAACUGUCAGAGGUGAAAUUCUUGGAUUUUUGGAAGACGAACUACUGCGAAAGCAUUUACCAGGGAUGUUUUCAUUAA
rnacentral:rRNA from 1 species